rnacentral:rRNA from 1 species
CGCGUAGGCGGUUUCUAAAGUCAGAUGUGAAAGCCCGGGGCUUAACCCCGGAAGUGCAUUUGAAACUUAGGGACUUGAGUAUGGGAGAGGGAAGUGGAGUUCCUGGUGUAGCGGUGAAAUGCGUAGAUAUCAGGAGGAACACCGGUGGCGAAGGCGACUUCCUGGACCAAUACUGACGCUGAGGCGCGAAGGCGUGGGGAGCAAACA